GCGUCGGUGGUUCAGUGGUAGAAUGCUCGCUUGCCACGCGGGUCGCCCGGGUCCGAUUCCAGGCCAACGCA
rnacentral:tRNA from 1 species